CAAGUCGAACGGUCUUUUCUGCAAAGAGAAGAUAGUGGCAAACGGGUGCGUAACACGUAAGUAACCUGCCCCCAAGUAGGGGAUAACGCUGAGAAAUCGGCGCUAAUACCGUAUGUGGUCGUUUCACACAAGUGGAAUGACUAAAACCGCAAGGUGCUUGGGGAGGGGCUUGCGUCCGAUUAGCUAGUUGGUGGAGUAACGGUUCACCAAGGCAGUGAUCGGUAGCUGGUCUGAGAGGAUGUACAGCCACACUGGGACUGAGACACGGCCCAGACUCCUACGGGAGGCAGCAGCAAGGAAUUUUGUGCAAUGGGCGAAAGCCUGACACAGCGACGCCGCGUGGGGGAUGAAAGCCUUCGGGUUGUAAACCCCUUUUCUCAGGGAUGAAUAAUGACAGUACCUGAGGAAUAAGUCACGGCCAACUACGUGCCAGCAGCCGCGGU
rnacentral:rRNA from 1 species